UUUGUAGAAUUAAUUAUGAUCUUGUUUUUGAAGUAAGUUUUAGUCCUUUUGUUUCAUUUCACACAUUUAUAUUUUCUUACUAGAAAACAGAAUAUCAGAAAACUAGAAACUAAAAAAGCCAGGAUUAAUUGUAAUCAUGCCAUCUAUAGAUAAUGACUUUCAAUUGGUAGAGUAAAUCCUACCAGACUUUGUUUUUAAAGAAAAUGUAGUCAUGGUACACAUGUUGUACCUUUACCUGAUUUUAUAAUAUAGUCAAAAAUAUGAUUGGUAUUUCAGUAUAUAGAG
rnacentral:lncRNA from 1 species